UACCUAUAUUGGUGGGAGGUAGCAGGUACCUGGUCUAAUAAUCGAGGUGCGCACACAUUGGCCGGACACCACGAAUAUCAGAGGGUAAACUAGAUACUGUACUAAUAACAAGUUGGCUAGGACACCAAGCAAUAGAAAAGGAGGUCAAGUCAAGUUAUAGGUCAUACAAUGGUCUGAUCCUUGCUUUUGCUCCUCAGCCCAGAAAAAGGAAAGAGAAAAAGAAAUGGAAGGCUACUCAUCUAAAUGCAAGAAUAAUAUGUGGAAACUCACCAGUUGCUGCCU